rnacentral:rRNA from 1 species
UGGGGAAUCUUAGACAAUGGGGGAAACCCUGAUCUAGCCAUGCCGCGUGAGCGAUGAAGGCCUUAGGGUUGUAAAGCUCUUUCAGCUGGGAAGAUAAUGACGGUACCAGCAGAAGAAGCCCCGGCUAACUCCGUGCCAGCAGCCGCGGUAAUACGGAGGGGGCUAGCGUUGUUCGGAAUUACUGGGCGUAAAGCGCACGUAGGCGGAUUAGUCAGUCAGAGGUGAAAUCCCAGGGCUCAACCCUGGAACUGCCUUUGAUACUGCUAGUCUUGAGGUCGAGAGAGGUGAGUGGAAUUCCGAGUGUAGAGGUGAAAUUCGUAGAUAUUCGGAGGAACACCAGUGGCGAAGGCGGCUCACUGGCUCGAUACUGACGCUGAGGUGCGAAAGCGUGGGGAGCAAACAGGGUUAGAUACCCUGGUAGUCCACGCCGUAAACGAUGAAUGCCAGUCGUCGGGUUGCAUGCAAUUCGGUGACACACCUAACGGAUUUAAGCAUUCCGCCUGGGGAGUACGGUCGCAAGNUUAAAACUCAAAGGAAUUGACGGGGUCAUAGCUGUUUCCUG